rnacentral:rRNA from 1 species
CGCAGUAGUUGCCGGAUUCCCUGGCGGUGGACCGCUGGCUUUGAUUCCAGUACGCAUUCGAAGCAUUUCCGAUUCAACCGGGACAGACAUAUACGGAAAAUCAGAAGUGACACGGGAGAUCUAUUCAAUUUCUGCUGACAUUAAGCAGGGAGAUUCUGGUGCACCAAUGUUUGCCUUAGAUACCCUGGUAGUCCGGGCGUACGUACGUUA